AAAUGUUCAAUUUCGUCCUACCUUUUUCAAAAAGUUCAAUGUAGUCCCAUUUUAUGAAAAAAGUGUCCAAAUUAAUCCUUUUUGGUCACGGCGUUAAAUAUUUAACGAUCCUGUGCAACGUGGCUGUUUACCUUCAUGACGUGCCAAUGAAAGUGUUUUUCAUUAAAGUUGACGUGGCAGGAAGUGAUUAAAAAAUUGUGCUCCGGCCCCAAUCUCAUUUUCCUCCCAUUUCCACCGAUUUUCAUCUUCUCGUUUUCACCAUUGACGCCGAAUCUGUUUGGGAUUUUAGGGUUCUGAAGUUUCUGCGUCUAAUAGGUAUUCAAAAUCGUGAGAGUGAAAGUGGGGGUCUGUGGUUCCGAAGGUACUGCCCAAACGUGUUCCAGUCGCGUCGCUUUUGGUUCUCGUAGCGGCUCAGAGUAGUGGGGGAGGAGGAAGGUGGUGAUGACGAAGAUGAAGGUGGUGGUGGUGAUGUGAAAUUGGAGGUGUUACCUGUUGAGAGGUUGAUGGCUUUGGUGUCGGAGUUUGACGAAGAGUCAAAUUCUUGAAAGGAAUUCAUGAUCUGUAAGGGAAGGUAUUAUCAGAUAUUUGGAUCUGCGAUGUUCUUCGUUACUGUUUGGGAAGGGUUUGUUGUUUUUUGUUCAGUGACUUUGCGUGUUGGAUCGACAAGGAGAGUGUUGAACUGUGGAGAUUGAGGGGUGUAAGGAGGGGAAGGAAGAAGAUGAGAUUGGGGCUGGAGCACAAUUUUUUAAUCACUUCCUGCCACGUCAACUUUAAUGAAAAACAUUUUCAUUGCCUGGUCAUGAAGGUAAACAGCCACGUUGCACAGGAUCGUUAAAUAUUUAACGCCGUAACCAAAAAGGAUUAAUUUGGACACUUUUUUCACAAAGUGGGACCACAUUGAACUUUUUGAAAAAGGUAGGACGAAAUUGAACAUUUCCCUUAUAAAGAGGGACAAAAACAGGUAUUAAGCCAUAAUAAAAAGUACAUUUGAGAGAACAUGCUACGUCAACGUCCAUUCUUUUUUAUCAUUUCGAAAAUUGAUAUGAAUUAUAAUGUUUCUGAGGCUCAAUUGUCGACCUCAAAAUCCCUUUUCAAUUGUCAACUUCUAAUCUUAAAUUUAUUGUACUAAGAGCAGAGCAUCUUUAGUUUAGUCGUG
rnacentral:sRNA from 1 species